rnacentral:tRNA from 1 species
CCCUUGGUAGCUCAGUUGGAAGAGCGUGAGACUGUAACAGGAUAACUGGUUAUCUCAAGGUCACUGGUUCGAAACCUGUCCGAGGGA